GAUGAACGCUGGCGGCGUGCUUAACACAUGCAAGUCGAACGAUGAUGCCCAGCUUGCUGGGUGGAUUAGUGGCGAACGGGUGAGUAACACGUGAGUAACCUGCCCUUGACUCUGGGAUAAGCCUGGGAAACUGGGUCUAAUACCGGAUAUGACUGCUCCGCGCAUGCGGUGGUGGUGGAAAGCUUUUGCGGUUUUGGAUGGACUCGCGGCCUAUCAGCUUGUUGGUGGGGUAAUGGCCUACCAAGGCGACGACGGGUAGCCGGCCUGAGAGGGUGACCGGCCACACUGGGACUGAGACACCGCCCAGACUCCUACGGGAGGCAGC
rnacentral:rRNA from 1 species